CGGUGCGGAAUUUCGUAUGUAACAUCGUGCUGGCUGCGGGGCGGUAGACGCUUGAGAUUUCCGUAGAUCGUUGUCAAUCCGUUGGUCAAGUCAUAAUAAACCCGGACUCCUGCAAGGAUGUUUUGGGUAUGAGUUUGACUUUUGAGUUCCUGUUCUAACGGGGAAACUUCACGCAUGGUAAAGCUUCUGCUGCUCUUUAGCAUCAGAAUGUAGAUAAAUCAAGAUAAGCAUGGUGUGCAGUAUAGGCAUGCAGAGCUCUUGUUCAGACGAUGGCUGUGGAGGACCCAUAUAACACAGAUGAAGUAUUGUCUACAACUAGAGUUUUACAGCGCUCUCAUUUUACCAGUGACUGAUGUUAUUGCAUACGAAGAACUGUCCGACGGGGGUAGUUUGCCUCAAGAAUUUGUGUGCUAUUUAGAAAUGACUUGCAUAAGACCCGACCGAGGAAGAGGCGCUAGAAGACUGUCGUCUGGCUCCAGUACUUUCAAUUAUCUGGAAUAUUUCAGAGAUGACUUAAACUGGCAUGACUAGAACUAAUACUAGCCUUGAAGGUUUUCAUAUUGCCUUACAAAAUUCAAACUUCAUGCCAGCAUCCGAAUAUCUGGAAAUCGAUUAUUAGAGCUGGAGGCGC